rnacentral:rRNA from 1 species
UACGUAGGGUGCGAGCGUUGUCCGGAAUUAUUGGGCGUAAAGGGCUCGUAGGCGGUCUGUCACGUCGGGAGUGAAAACUCAGGGCUUAACCCUGAGCCUGCUUCCGAUACGGGCAGACUAGAGGUAUGCAGGGGAGAAUGGAAUUCCUGGUGUAGCGGUGAAAUGCGCAGAUAUCGGGAGGAACACCAGUGGCGAAGGCGAUCACCUGGGGUUGUUCUGACGCUGAGGAGCGAAAGCUAGGGGAGCAAACGGG